ACGAACGCUGGCGGCACGCUUAACACAUGCAAGUCGAACGAGAGAAGAGAAGCUUGCUUUUCUGAUCUAGUGGCGGACGGGUGAGUAACACGUGAGCAAUCUGCCUUUCAGAGGGGGAUACCGAUUGGAAACGAUCGUUAAUACCGCAUAAUAUAAUUGAACCGCAUGAUUUGAUUAUCAAAGAUUUAUCGCUGAAAGAUGAGCUCGCGUCUGAUUAGCUAGUUGGUAAGGUAACGGCUUACCAAGGCGACGAUCAGUAGCCGGACUGAGAGGUUGAUCGGCCACAUUGGGACUGAGACACGGCCCAGACUCCUACGGGAGGCAGCAGUGGGGAAUAUUGCACAAUGGAGGAAACUCUGAUGCAGCGAUGCCGCGUGAGGGAAGAAGGUUUUAGGAUUGUAAACCUCUGUCUUCAGGGACGAAAAAAGACGGUACCUGAGGAGGAAGCUCCGGCUAACUACGUGCCAGCAGCCGCGGUAAUACGUAGGGAGCGAGCGUUGUCCGGAAUUACUGGGUGUAAAGGGAGCGUAGGCGGGAUCGCAAGUCAGAUGUGAAAACUAUGGGCUUAACCCAUAAACUGCAUUUGAAACUGUGGUUCUUGAGUGAAGUAGAGGUAAGCGGAAUUCCUAGUGUAGCGGUGAAAUGCGUAGAUAUUAGGAGGAACAUCAGUGGCGAAGGCGGCUUACUGGGCUUUAACUGACGCUGAGGCUCGAAAGCGUGGGGAGCAAACAGGAUUAGAUACCCUGGUAGUCCACGCCGUAAACGAUGAUUACUAGGUGUGGGGGGACUGACCCCUUCCGUGCCGCAGCAAACGCAAUAAGUAAUCCACCUGGGGAGUACGACCGCAAGGUUGAAACCCAAAGGAAUUGACGGGGGCCCGCACAAGCAGUGGAGUAUGUGGAUUAAUUCGAAGCAACGCGAAGAACCUUACCAGGUCUUGACAUCAUAUGCAUAGCUCAGAGAUGAGUGAAAUCUCUUCGGAGACAUAUAGACAGGUGGUGCAUGGUUGUCGUCAGCUCGUGUCGUGAGAUGUUGGGUUAAGUCCCGCAACGAGCGCAACCCUUACUGUUAGUUGCUACGCAAGAGCACUCUAGCAGGACUGCCGUUGACAAAACGGAGGAAGGUGGGGAUGACGUCAAAUCAUCAUGCCCCUUAUGACCUGGGCCUCACACGUACUACAAUGGCUGUUAACAGAGGGAUGCAAAGCCGCGAGGUGGAGCGAACCCCUAAAAGCAGUCUUAGUUCGGAUUGUAGGCUGCAACCCGCCUACAUGAAGUCGGAAUUGCUAGUAAUCGCAGAUCAGCAUGCUGCGGUGAAUACGUUCCCGGGCCUUGUACACACCGCCCGUCACGCCAUGGGAGUCGGUAACACCCGAAGCCUGUAGUCUAACCGCAAGGAGGACGCAGUCGAAGGUGGGAUUGAUGACUGGGGUG
rnacentral:rRNA from 1 species